rnacentral:rRNA from 1 species
UACGUAGGGUGCAAGCGUUGUCCGGAAUUAUUGGGCGUAAAGAGCUCGUAGGCGGUUUGUCGCGUCGGCUGUGAAAACUCGGGGGCUCAACCCCGAGCCUGCAGUCGAUACGGGCAGACUAGAGUGCUGUAGGGGAGACUGGAAUUCCUGGUGUAGCGGUGAAAUGCGCAGAUAUCUGGAGGAACACCGGUGGCGAAGGCGGCAUCCUGGACCGGUAUUGACGCUGAUGCGCGAAAGCCAGGGGAGCAAACGGG